rnacentral:rRNA from 1 species
AUGAUUAAUAUUUUAGGAUAUGUGUGGUUCCAGGAAAAACAUUUGUCAGGUUUUUGGUGGCCAAGUGUUAUUGAUAUGGAGAUGAAUAACUAUGCGGAUGCACUCCUUCUGUUUUUGCAUCUCCUUCGCGACGACCUAUUGUGUGCCCAUGAACAAAGAGCAAAGCCCGCCUGCAGUCUGAGCUAUUCAUCGCCUUGUCUCAAUGGAUCAGAGUUCAUGGAAAAACAUGUUUGGCAUCCUGUAGUAGUUAUAGUCCUUAAGUUACAACAGUUUGAUCAUGAAAAAACAUCAGUACAGAAAGUAUGGAGCUUCUAA